UAACACUAUUCAUUAAAUCAAAUUUGGUGUAUCAUUAGAGUGGUAUUCACACCACCAAAUUUACAUUAAAUUUGCCUAACCAUUGGAGAGUCUCACAACUGAGUUCCAGGUGCUGCAAGGGGAAACGUCGAAAGAUUUUUUCUUCUUUUUGCAUUAGUUUUUUCUCUCUCUCUCUCUUUCCUAUUUUAAUCAAAAUGAGGGUAUAAAUUUCUUUUUAAUAAAACGGUGACUAAGACUCAAUUGGACGGGUUCAUUUGGAUCCAAACGCUCCAUCAUAGAAAGUUAAGGGCUUAGGGCGUCACAAAUACGAGAUUUAGGACUCCAUUGUCACAGCAAUCAAAAGUUUGGGACCCUCACUGGAUUUCAUAUCUUUUAACCAAAGGUCAGUCGUGUAUUCUCUAAUGCUGUCCAAAAGCCAGUGACUAGUGGCCAAUGAAGAUGAAGAGAAGAUGCAUUUACCUGCAUUGGACUAACCCUGCAAAUUUUUACCCAUAAUGCAAUGGACUUAAAUUCAAAUAUCAGAUGAUAAACCAUACAGAUUCCUAGAAAUUCAUAGCAUAUGAUAUUAUCUCAAACCCAAAUUUAAGGCAUGUGAAAAUAUUGCAUUAGAACUCACCAUCACGGAAUACAGAAACUCCAAUCAAGAUUCAUUUUUGGCAAGUCACUUUUCAUUUCAAUAGCCAAGGGAGAAACUCCACACACAAGCUAUAUGCCAAAAAGCUCAUAUUCCAAAUCUGUGAUAAAAAAGUUCAUAUCCAUGUCCAUAAGAUUAACAUUGCAUUUUACUCACGAUAAAGAGGGUCGCAAAGAUGAAUGCUAAAUAGCAAACAGGAUGCUUACCAAGUGUAUAAAUGCAGCUUGGAAGGGAUGAUAGAAUCCACGAGUACAAACUCUUGUGGCGUUCAUACUUCAAAGAGUAAGAUGAGAAACAAGCAAUGAGAAAGAACAGUACUAUAUUGCAAGAUCAUCAUACUUCAAAGAGUAUGCCUCGCGGUUUUUGAACCUCAACAAUGGUAUCUAACCAGACCAUCAAU
rnacentral:lncRNA from 1 species